CACACUAAUAGGCUGCAAAUACAUGUGUAAAGAGUACAGAGAAUAUAUAAAAGAAAAAAGACUAAAAUCAAUUUGGAAUCAAUUGAAAACUGCAUCUUAAAUCGGCAUGGAAUGAGUCCCGUGGAAAGCAACACUGAAAAUUUUGUGGAGGCCUUGAGCAAACAGGAGACCACAUUCAGGCACAAGCUGUGAUGCUUUUUCUGGUUUGGUUUUGGUCUGAGAUCAGUGAGUUGAUGGGAGAAGCAGAGGACCAACAAGGAGCUAAGGAGCUGCUCCAUCCCAGCCCCAGACCUCAGAAAAGCCGAACCCACAAAAAAAAGAACACUAAAUCCACCAGCUUCAUCUGCUGUGAUGAGGAGACCAACAUCAGAGAUUCACCAUGUUCGCAUCUGUUUGGUUUUUUUCCCCCUGAACUUUUGUGUGAACCUUUUGUUUUUUUUCUUCCAUGAGACAGAAACCACGUGCCAUUUUGUUCCUCCCCGCCACAUUGUUGGCUGUUGUUUUGCAUUUUGAGGGUUUUUUUUGGUUUGUUUUUUUUUUUGUUGUUGUUGGUUUGUUGUUGUUUUGGUUUUGUUUUUUUGUUGUUGUUACAAUGUGAGUGUGUGUAUGGGGCGGGCAAGGUCUGACAGUUCAAUAUCUAGCAUUUUCCCACAAUUUUUUUCUCAUGUCAUAUUGGCACUCUGUUUGUCAAUAAAUGGUUACUUCUUUAAACUUUCAUCCACUGGUGUUAAUAUCUCAUUGGCAGAAAGGGCAUUGUUAGAAAUAUUUUUUUAGAGGAAACUCUCAUUCUAGAGCAUUUUCUCCUAAACUUGUCUCUAAACUGAGACACAUGCCAGG
rnacentral:lncRNA from 12 species